AGUCACUGACAUUAGAUACCCCUGUAGUCCAGGGUGUAAACGCUGCAGACUUGGUGUUGGAAAUCCUUCGAGGGUAUUCAGUGCCGGAGAGAAGUUGUUAAGUCUGCUACUUGGGGAGUACGUCCGCAAGGAUGAAACUUAAAGGAAUUGGCGGGGAGCACCGCAACGGGAGGAGCGUGCGGUUUAAUUGGAUUCAACACCGGAAAACUCACCAGGGGAGACUGUUACAUGAAACCCAGACUAAUGAUCUUGGUUGAUUUUCAG
rnacentral:rRNA from 1 species